AAGGAGUCGUUAGUUCGAGAUAACAAAUUAAGGAAGAAGCAAUGCUGAAAGGACGGAAAGCAGCAGAACGGAUUCUACAAAGAAACACCGGGGCAAGCGGAUAACAAAUUCCCUGCUUUAACGUUCAUCGACGUACCGUUGAAUUGCGAGAAUUCGCCAUUAACGAGCCCGCAAAAACUGAUCUCGAAAGAUUGAUGCUUGAAAAGCGAUAAAACACGGCGGAUUGCACCAAGAAGAACUACUAACGACAUCUGCCAAGAUCGUGUCAAACAUGUGCCACAUACUACAGUGCAGAUACAACAUAGGUCUGACAACAAGCAAAUAUUGAAAACACUAUUACGCAGCAUACACCGACUCUAUCAACCGUAUUGCACGCGAUCCCAAACAUUGUCUGAAAGUAAAAGGACAUUAGUAGAAGAGAGAAAGAGAGGGAGACGCUUCCAA